UUGCUUUUUUCUUUUUCUUUUUCUCUUUUUUUUUUUUUUCCUCCACCAAAAAGAUAUUUUUAUUUCUCUCUUUUGAAAUUUUUUUCUCAUCGUCGUCGUCACAAACCAAACUUCUCCACAAAAUUUCAAUCCUUAGCUUUCUCCGUUCUCUGAUCUUAAUUCUCAACGAAUCUAAGCUUCAACGAGCUUAAUCUCUACCUGAAUUUUCGAGAAAUUAGAGAGUGAAAAAUGGGAGAGGAAGUGAGGAUGAGCGAUUACGAUGUUUCCGGCGACGGAGAUAGGGUUAUGGAAUGGGAGAUGGGAUUACCAAGCGACGAGGAUUUAGCAUCGCUUUCAUACUCUUUGAUUCCGCCGAAUCUGGCGAUGGCGUUUAGUAUCACACCGGAGCGGAGCCGUACGGUUCAGGAUGUGAAUCGAGCAUCGGAGACGACGCUCUCGUCGCUGCGUAGCGGAUCUUCAGGUCCCAAUACCUCUUCGUCGAACAACAAUAGCAACGCGGUGGAGGUGGAAGAUCGAGUUGGAUCGAGUAGUCCUGGAUCGGAUUCUAAGAAGCAGAAGACAUCGGACGGCGAGGGAGAUGGAGAUGGCGGUGUGGAUCCGGAUGCGGCGAUGGCGGCUGAGGAAGGUGAUUCAGGAACUGAGGAUCUCUCUGGGAAAACACUGAAACGACCGCGUUUAGUGUGGACGCCGCAGCUACACAAGAGAUUCGUGGAUGUUGUGGCUCACUUAGGGAUCAAAAACGCUGUGCCGAAGACGAUUAUGCAGCUGAUGAACGUCGAAGGACUUACUCGAGAAAACGUAGCUUCUCAUCUCCAGAAGUAUAGGCUUUACCUCAAGCGGAUGCAGGGAUUGACGAAUGAAGGUCCCUCUGCUUCCGAUAAGCUCUUCUCUUCAACACCUGUGCCUCCACAGAGCUUCCAAGACAUCGGUGGUGGCGGUAGCGGUAACGGCCAGGGGAGUGGAUCAGCUGGUCACGUUGGAGUGCCAAUUCCGGUACCUUACGGAGGGCAGCAGAUGAUGCAGAUGCCUGUAUAUGCACAUCAUAUGGGUAUGCAAGGUUAUCAUCACCAAAAUCAUGGGCAUGAUCCUUAUCAUCAGAACCACCAUCAUCAUCGUGGAGCUGGUGGGAGUGGUGCGUUUGAAUCAAAUCCAUAUAUGAUGCAGCAGAAUAAGUUUGGAUCCAUGGCUUCUUAUCCUUCUGUUGGCGGUGGAAGCGCGAAUGAGAAUUGAAAAAAGGAAUUGAAGAAGUCUAUAGAUUGGUUCUUGGCUUCUCGUAAUUUCUUAUCUUUUGCCAGAGUUAUCCAUCCGAAAGGCCAAAUUGCAUCUAUGUAAGAAAGAUCAAACGAACAUAUUGUGUCGAAGCUAAAUCAGUAUUCUUGGAGCACAAAUGCAUACUUGAAGACUUCUGACAAGUUUCAUAUAUACACUCAUUUUCUAUAUUGUGAGGAUGAGUUCUCUAGAUAGCUUGCUGUGUUGGUUCACAGAGGAAGCUGUUAAGCUGUUCGUUUGUCAACUGUAUUCCUCCUAUACGGCUUCAUUGUGCUUUAUAAUGAUGCAAAUUGUGAAACCGGAAAGUUUCUGCAUCUCAGGCGAUGAAACUGUGGCCCUAUCUCAUCUUGUUUUCUUUUGGACUCUGCGAAAAGGUUAAAGCCGUCGUAGUGACACAAUAUUAUAGACACUAGGGGAAAUUCAAAACAGAGUGCAUUAUAAGGAAGCCAAGACACUAUUUGCAUAGAUUUUGUUGAACACAGAGUGAAAAGUAAAAGCAAUGGUACUUGUUGUGCUAAAUAUGAAGUUUGGAAGCUUAAAAGUUUUAAGUUAAAACCCUUGGCUGCAGCUUCAGUAAAGUACAUGAACUAUGCUAUAGUAACAAAAAAGAGAUCUCAUAGUAGAUAAGACAUGAGAUCUCAUUGGAGAUAUAUGUCUUUGAGCUGGAAUUGGAACCAACACUAGUCUUCUCCUCGCUGGCUCCUCUCCGAUUUCCAAAAUCUGCACGAACAACUACGAAAUAUUACUAUGGUCCUCAGCUUCUUUGAAUGUUUAUGAUAUUUUCUUGAAAGAAGUAUCUUUCUGAUAUAAAUAUCAGAUUCUCAUA